GUUUCUGAAUCAGUUUCUCUGAUUUUGCUAUUUAUAGGUUUAUAUUUGAGUAAAAUGAACAUUGUUGUUUUAUUCUAUAAACUACAGACAACAUUUCUCCCAAAUUACAAAUAAAAAUAUUCUCAUUUAGAGCAUUUAUUUACAGAAAAUGAGAAAUGACUGAAAUAACAAAAAAGAUGCAGAACUUUCAGACCUCAAAUAAUGCAAAGAAAAAAACAAGUUCAUAUUCAUAAAGUUUUAAGAGUUCAGAAAUAAUCAAUAUUUGGUGGAAUAAUCCUGGUUGGUUUUUAAUCACAGUUUUUUUUUAUGCAUCUUGGCAUCAUGUUCUCCUCCACCAGUCUUACACACUGCUUUUGGAUAACUUUAUGCUGCUUUACUCCUGGUGCAGAAAUUCAAGCAGUUCAGUUUGGU